AAUAUAAUGGCUGACUUAAAAGUGAUAAACUGUAAAUUUAUUUAUGAGAGUAAUCUCUUAUAUUA
rnacentral:tRNA from 1 species